rnacentral:rRNA from 1 species
AUUGAACGCUGGCGGCAGGCCUAACACAUGCAAGUCGAGCGGAUGAAGGGAGCUUGCUCCUGGAUUCAGCGGCGGACGGGUGAGUAAUGCCUAGGAAUCUGCCUGGUCGUGGGGGAUAACGUCCGGAAACGGGCGCUAAUACCGCAUACGUCCUGAGGGUGAAAGUGGGGGAUCUUCGGACCUCAUGCUAUCAGAUGAGCCUAGGUCGGAUUAGCUAGUUGGUGGGGUAAAGGCCUACCAAGGCGACGAUCCGUAACUGGUCUGAGAGGAUGAUCAGUCACACUGGAACUGAGACACGGUCCAGACUCCUACGGGAGGCAGCAGUGGGGAAUAUUGGACAAUGGGCGAAAGCCUGAUCCAGCCAUGCCGCGUGUGUGAAGAAGGUCUUCGGAUUGUAAAGCACUUUAAGUUGGGAGGAAGGGCAGUAAGUUAAUACCUUGCUGUUUUGACGCUACCAACAGAAUAAGCACCGGCUAACUUCGUG